rnacentral:rRNA from 1 species
CCUACGGGUGGCAGCAGUGGGGAAUAUUGCACAAUGGGGGAAACCCUGAUGCAGCGAAGCCGCGUGAGUGAAGAAGUAUCUCGGUACGUAAAGCUCUAUCAGCAGGGAAGAAAAUGACGGUACCUGACUAAGAAGCCCCGGCUAACUACGUGCCAGCCGUCGCGGUAAUACGUAGGGGGCAAGCGUUAUCCGGAUUUACUGGGUGUAAAGGGAGCGUAGACGGCAGAACAAGUCUGGAGUGAAAUCCCGGGGCUUAACCCCGGAACUGCUGUUGAAACUGUGCGGCUGGAGUGCAGGAGGGGUAAGCGGAAUUCGUGGUGUAGCGGUGAAAUGCGUAGAUAUUAGGAAGAACACCGGUUGCGAAGGCGGCUUACUGGACUGUAACUGACGUUGAGGCUCGAAAGCGUGGGGAGCAAACAGGAUUAGAUACCCCAGUAGUC